CUGUAAUUACAGUUACUAAGCUUAAUGUGCACUAAUUACAGCACAUUAAUGAAUUUGUAGACAUGCCCAGUAUUUGCCAGUAAGUUG